AAACCGGAGCUAAUACCGGAUAAUAUUUUGAACCGCAUGAUUCAAAAGUGAAAGACGGUCUUGCUGUCACUUAUAGAUGGAUCCGCGCUGCAUCAGCUAGUUGGUAAGGUAACGGCUUACCAAGGCAACGAUGCAUAGCCGACCUGAGAGGGUGAUCGGCCACACUGGAACUGAGACACGGUCCAG
rnacentral:rRNA from 1 species